AUCUCUAAUUUAUGUUGUUAUUACUUGAGUUUUCUUUUUUAAUUAUUAUAGUUAACUUGUUAUUACUGUGAUUCGAUCACUUGUAGGCCAAACUCACUAAGCUUCUCAAGAACCUUAUGGCAAAGGUUUCUACUAUGAAGAAUACAGAGCAGAUUUUAGAGCAACUUCCUCGGGUGAUAUCAUCUUUGGAUGCAUAUAUGGAUAAUGGAUUGCAAAAGUGAUAACCCGCUAGCAAGUGCAAGUAAACCUCGUUCAAAGUCAGGAGGGAGCUGACUGAAGCUUAAGAGGAAGCUGCGUUCCACUCACCCAACUGUUCUUC